GUGACUUCACAUAUAAAGCCACCAAUCAGGGCCGUGCAGAAUAGAGCUAAUUCUCAUCCAGAGUAUCAUAGCUACACAAUACCCAUCUGGAGCCUGAUUCCUUCCACCAUGAGCUGCAGGCUUCUCCUCUAUGUGUCCCUGUGUCUUGUGGAAACAGCACUCACGAACACUAAAAUUAUUCAGAUACCAAGAUAUCUAGUCAUGGGAAGAGCAAAUAAGACGUCUUUGGAAUGUCAGCAACAUCUGGGACAUAAUGCUAUGUACUGGUAUAAGCAGAGCACUAAAAAGCCCCCUGAGCUCAUGUUUCUCUACAGUGUUAAACAAUUGGUUCUAAAUGAGACUGUGUCCAGUCGUUUCUUACCUGAAUGCCCAGACAGCUCCAAGAUACUCCUACACAUAUCUGCCCUGAAGCCAGAAGACUCAGCUGUAUAUUUUUGUGCCAGCAGCCAAGACACAGCCCUGCAGACUGAUUAG